rnacentral:rRNA from 1 species
CCCUUAGAGUUUGAUCCUGGCUCAGGAUGAACGCUGGCGGCGCGCCUAACACAUGCAAGUCGAACGGCACCCAUCCUCGGAUGGAAGCGAGUGGCGAACGGCUGAGUAACACGUGGAGAACCUGCCCCCUCCCCCGGGAUAGCCGCCCGAAAGGACGGGUAAUACCGGAUACCCCGGGGUGCCGCAUGGCACCCCGGCUAAAGCCCCGACGGGAGGGGAUGGCUCCGCGGCCCAUCAGGUAGACGGCGGGGUGACGGCCCACCGUGCCGACAACGGGUAGCCGGGUUGAGAGACCGACCGGCCAGAUUGGGACUGAGACACGGCCCAGACUCCUACGGGAGGCAGCAGUGGGGAAUCUUGCGCAAUGGGGGGAACCCUGACGCAGCGACGCCGCGUGCGGGACGGAGGCCUUCGGGUCGUAAACCGCUUUCAGCAGGGAAGAGUCAAGACUGUACCUGCAGAAGAAGCCCCGGCUAACUACGUGCCAGCAGCCGCGGUAAUACGUAGGGGGCGAGCGUUAUCCGGAUUCAUUGGGCGUAAAGCGCGCGUGGGCGGCCCGGCAGGCCGGGGGUCGAAGCGGGGGGCUCAACCCCCCGAAGCCCCCGGAACCUCCGCGGCUUGGGUCCGGUAGGGGAGGGUGGAACACCCGGUGUAGCGGUGGAAUGCGCAGAUAUCGGGUGGAACACCGGUGGCGAAGGCGGCCCUCUGGGCCGAGACCGACGCUGAGGCGCGAAAGCUGGGGGAGCGAACAGGAUUAGAUACCCUGGUAGUCCCAGCCGUAAACGAUGGACGCUAGGUGUGGGGGGACGAUCCCCCCGUGCCGCAGCCAACGCAUUAAGCGUCCCGCCUGGGGAGUACGGCCGCAAGGCUAAAACUCAAAGGAAUUGACGG